ACGAACGCUGGCGGCAUGCCUAAUACAUGCAAGUCGAACGAACACUUCGGUGUUAGUGGCGCACGGGUGCGUAACGCGUGGGAAUCUACCCUUGGGUUCGGAAUAACAGUGGGAAACUACUGCUUAUACCGGAUGAUGACGUAAGUCCAAAGGUUUAUCGCCCAGGGAUGAGCCCGCGUAGGAUUAGCUAGUUGGUAAGGUAAAAGCUUACCAAGGCUACGAUCCUUAGCUGGUCUGAGAGGAUGAUCAGCCACACUGGGACUGAGACACGGCCCAGACUCCUACGGGAGGCAGCAGUAGGGAAUAUUGGACAAUGGGCGAAAGCCUGAUCCAGCAAUGCCGCGUGAGUGAUGAAGGUCUUAGGAUUGUAAAGCUCUUUCACCGGAGAAGAUAAUGACGGUAUCCGGAGAAGAAGCCCCGGCUAACUUCGU
rnacentral:rRNA from 1 species